rnacentral:rRNA from 1 species
CAGUAGCCACGGGAAUACGUAGGGUCCGAGCGUUGUCCGGAAUUAUUGGGCGUAAAGGGCUCGUAGGCGGUUUGUUGCGUCGGGAGUGAAAACCCAGGGCUUAACUUUGGGCUUGCUUUCGAUACGGGCAGACUUGAGGCAUUGAGGGGAGAACGGAAUUCCUGGUGUAGCGGUGAAAUGCGCAGAUAUCAGGAGGAACACCGGUGGCGAAGGCGGUUCUCUGGCAAUGUUCUGACGCUGAGGAGCGAAAGUGUGGGGAGCGAACAGGAUUAGAUACCCGUGUAGUCCCUGUCUCUUAUAC